GACGAACGCUGGCGGCGUGCUUAACACAUGCAAGUCGAACGGAAAGGCCCUGCUUUUGUGGGGUGCUCGAGUGGCGAACGGGUGAGUAACACGUGAGUAACCUGCCCUUGACUUUGGGAUAACUUCAGGAAACUGGGGCUAAUACCGGAUAGGAGCUCCUGCUGCAUGGUGGGGGUUGGAAAGUUUCGGCGGUUGGGGAUGGACUCGCGGCUUAUCAGCUUGUUGGUGGGGUAGUGGCUUACCAAGGCUUUGACGGGUAGCCGGCCUGAGAGGGUGACCGGCCACAUUGGGACUGAGAUACGGCCCAGACUCCUACGGGAGGCAGCAGUGGGGAAUAUUGCACAAUGGGCGGAAGCCUGAUGCAGCAACGCCGCGUGCGGGAUGACGGCCUUCGGGUUGGAAACCGCUUUCGCCUGUGACGAAGCGUGAGUGAAGGUAAUGGGUAAAGAAGCACCGGCUAACUACGUGC
rnacentral:rRNA from 1 species